UAACCCCAUACAGGAGAUAGAAAACCCAUAAUCCCAUAUAGGAACCCCAUAAUCCCACAUAGGAACCCCAUAAUCCCAUUUAGGAACCCCAUAAUCCCACAAAGGAACCCCAUAAUCCCAUAUAGAAACCCCAUAAUCCCACAGAGAAACACCCAUAAUCCCACAAAGGAACCCAUAAUCCCAUAUAGGAGAUAGAACCCCCAUAAUCCCCCAUCCAUAAGCCAUUUUGGGGUCAUUUUGGGGCCAUUUUAGGGCCAUUUUGGGGUCAUUUUAGGGUCCUUUUAGGGUCAUUUUGGGGCACCAUUCUCCCACCCGUUUGGGGCUGAAUUUUGGGUUGAAUUCAGGCGAUUUUGGUCCAUUUUGGGCAGAUUUGGUGUCAUUUCAGGGCUGCCCUCAGUCACAUCCCACAGCCAUUUUGGGGCCAUUUUAGGGCCAUUUUGGGGUCAUUUUAGGGCCAUUUUGGGGUCCUUUUAGGGUCCUUUUAGGGUCAUUUUGGGGCACCAUUCUCCCAUCCAUUUGGGGCUGAAUUUUGGGUUGAAUUCAGCCAAUUUUGUUCCAUUUUGGGCAGAUUUGGGGUCAUUUCAGUGCUGGGCUGCCCUCAGUCACAUCCCAUAGCCAUUUUGGGGCCAUUUUGGGGUCAUUUUAGGGCCAUUUUGGGGUCAUUUUAGGGUCAUUUUAGGGUCAUUUUGGGGCACCAUUCUCCCAUCCAUUUGGGGCUGAAUUUUGGGUUGAAUUCAGGCGAUUUCGGGUCACUUGGGGCAGAUUUGGGGUCAUUUCAGGGCUGCCCUCAGUCACAUCCCACAGCCAUUUUGGGGCCAUUUUGGGGUCAUUUUGGGGUCCUUUUAGGGUCAUUUUGGGGCACCAUUCUCCCAUCCAUUUGGGGCUGAAAUUUGGGUUGAAUUCAGCCAAUUUUGGUCCAUUUUGGGCGGAUUUGGUGUCAUUUCAGUGCUGGGCUGCCCUCAGUCACAUCCCAUAGCCAUUUUGGGGCCAUUUUGGGGUCAUUUUGGGGUCAUUUUAGGUCCAUUUUGGGGCCAUUUUAGGGUCCUUUUAGGGUCAUUUUGGGGCACCAUUCUCCCUUCCAUUUGGGGCUGAA
rnacentral:lncRNA from 1 species